UAUUCAUUCACCUCUCAACCUAGGGCUUCUAUCUUCCAUCACAAGACUCUACCUUCCCCAUCCCUAGAUUGCCUCCUGAAACAUCUUCAUCAUCAAGGUACAUCUAUCUUGGAUUGUGUAACAGUGAAAUAAAAGCUGCAAGGAUGCUUGCGUCAAGUUAAUUGUCCAUUAGGCAACACUUCCGAUGAUACGAGAACAAGGGUUAAGCACUGCACACGUAUGACACGAGGAACUCAGACGCCUCAGGCCCACCCUCUCAACCUGAGUGGUGUUGUGGCUUUGGUUUUCAUCCUGUUGACCAGGGACAACAAUAGAGAAGAUUUUGGGAUCUACUCCACAUUGGGCAUGGCAUGUUUUUGUCCACAUGCAGCUUCUAACUUCAUUGCUGUCAUAGAAUCAUUAGUAUUGGUGGAACAGACCCAUCAGGUCAUUGAUCAUUAUUUAAGAAAGGUAUUCGCAAACUGGAGUUUGUAGUGUUGUUUUCGGAAGCAGGUUCAGAAGCCAAGUUUUUGGUCACCAUCCUGUAUCCAGGUUAGAAUCAUUAGAUUCUAGAGACAGCUAUCAUGGUCUGGUUUUUGGUCAUGUUGUCAAGGUUAGAGGCUGUUUGGAUUGUGUUUUCGAACUGAUGUUCUUUUUAGCUUUCAGUCUUUGGAUAAGGGAUUGGAUAGUGUUUAAUGAUCCUUUAUCGCACUAUCUCCUAAGGUGACAUCAGCUUUGUUGCGCUUUCAAAUAUGCAUAAUGGAUUCAUUUGUUAAUUCUUUAACAAUGGCUAUGGGCCAUGAGGCUACUUCCUUUAUUAAGUUGCAAGUCUUUAACCGAGUGAGGCCUCAAAACAAAAAUCUGGCACUCACUUAACUGCUAUCUAUGGUUAAAAUCUCUUAAUAUUUUUUAUUCUAAUUAAUUUUUGGAAUUUUAUUGUUAUGUAUAAUAUAGAACUUUUAUAUCAAUAUCGAAUUCAAGGCAUGUUCUAAGGCUAAUAUAAUACACUUAGAUUUUUCAUUAUUUGAUUUUUUAGUAAUUAUAUAAUUUUUCAUUUCUGUGGUAACAUGAUUCAACCGAAGCAUUUGGACAUCACCAUUGUUAAAGCUAUGGAUAACAUGAAUGCCCACCAAAGGAUCGUCAUGUUAAAAAGUGAAUUUCACAUGUAUACGGGCCAUAAUCCCUAUUUGCAAAUUAUUCUUUUUAUAUUGUAGUUGGGUUAGGAAUUGUUUUUAUGUUUUUAACUCUUUUGUUUGUUAUAGCGUGUGCUCGCAUGUGAAAUUUUGUUCGUUAAA